rnacentral:rRNA from 1 species
UACAGAGGGUGCGAGCGUUAAUCGGAAUUACUGGGCGUAAAGGGCGCGUAGGAGGGCAGGUAAGUCAGUGGUGAAAUCUUCGAGCUUAACUCGGAAACUGCCGUUGAUACUAUCUGUCUUGAAUCCCGUGGAGAUGAGCGGAAUAUGUCAUGUAGCGGUGAAAUGCUUAGAUAUGACAUAGAACACCAAUUGCGAAGGCAGCUCGUUACACGAAGAUUGACUCUGAGGCACGAAAGCGUGGGGAUCAAACAGG